AAAUUGAAGAGUUUGAUCAUGGCUCAGAUUGAACGCUGGCGGCAGGCCUAACACAUGCAAGUCGAACGGUAACAGGAAGCAGCUUGCUGCUUCGCUGACGAGUGGCGGACGGGUGAGUAAUGUCUGGGAAACUGCCUGAUGGAGGGGGAUAACUACUGGAAACGGUGGCUAAUACCGCAUAACGUCGCAAGACCAAAGAGGGGGACCUUCGGGCCUCUUGCCAUCAGAUGUGCCCAGAUGGGAUUAGCUUGUUGGUGAGGUAACGGCUCACCAAGGCGACGAUCCCUAGCUGGUCUGAGAGGAUGACCAGCCACACUGGAACUGAGACACGGUCCAGACUCCUACGGGAGGCAGCA
rnacentral:rRNA from 1 species